CUGGGUAUAUUUUUAAGGUAGAAGGUAUAUGUUGAUGGUUUAGCAUUACAGUUUGAGAGUAUGAGAUAAAUUUGAGUGAUUCAAAUUUUUUGGUUUGUUUCCAGGAAGUAGAAGACUGAAAAAAAAAAAAAGAAGAAGAAGAAGGCAAAGGAAAAAAGUUAUCAUGGUCCAGAGAUGUUCAACAAUUUGUCCAAGAAGACACAGCUUAUAAACAGCACAAUAAACCGCAAAAUUUGAACACACCAACAAUUGUCAAGUUGAAUCCCUGGAUAUGCAGAUACAUAAGGAGAGGAGCUGGCAUAAGCCCAGUCAUUGAGAGGCUUUGACUCCACAAGGACAUCAUCCAUUCAAGAAUUCAAACUCAAACUUGAAACCAAGCAGAGAGUAAGAGACCAAUUGAAUACCGGGAGAUCCAACUGAAAUGUUAGUCGUGUUGGGUGCCACAAAGCCAUCUCAGCAGGCCACACCCUGAAUCCCAUCACUCCCCUCCUUAGGCUGCUCUGGGCUUCCUCUCCCAGUAGCUUGGACCAUCAACCUCAAACCGCAAAGCUUCUGGUGGUGAACUGUCUUCAUGGAUCACCACCCCUGCCCCAAAGGUAAUGUGUGCUCCUUGAGGAAGGAAACCACAUCCUUGUUCUCCACAACUAGCCACUAUGUUUGUUCAGAAAGCUUUCUUCUUUUCAAUGGAGAUGAGUCAUUUAUUUUCAAUGUGCACUUCAC